rnacentral:rRNA from 1 species
UACAGAGGCCAAGAGCGUUGUUCGGAUUUACUGGGCGUAAAGGGCGCGUAGGCGGCGAGGCGUGUCGGAUGUGAAAUCUCCGGGCUCAACCCGGAACGUGCGUCCGAAACUACCUUGCUGGAGGCCGGGAGGGGGAACCGGAAUGCAGGGUGUAGCGGUGAAAUGCGUUGAUAUCCUGCAGAACACCGGAGGCGAAGGCGGGUUCCUUGAACGGUUCUGACGCUGAGGCGCGAAAGUCGGGGGAGCAAAC